rnacentral:rRNA from 1 species
GAUGAACGCUGGCGGCGUGCCUAAUACAUGCAAGUCGAGCGAAUGGAUUAAGAGCUUGCUCUUAUGAAGUUAGCGGCGGACGGGUGAGUAACACGUGGGUAACCUGCCCAUAAGACUGGGAUAACUCCGGGAAACCGGGGCUAAUACCGGAUAACAUUUUGAACCGCAUGGUUCGAAAUUGAAAGGCGGCUUCGGCUGUCACUUAUGGAUGGACCCGCGUCGCAUUAGCUAGUUGGUGAGGUAACGGCUCACCAAGGCAACGAUGCGUAGCCGACAUGAGAGGGGGAUCGGCCACCCUGGGACUGAGACACGGCCCAGACUCCUACGAGAGGCAGCAGUAGGGAAUCUUCCGCAAUGGACGGAAGUCUGACGUAGCAACGCCGCGUGAGUGAUGAAGGCUUUCGGGUCGUAAAACUCUGUUGUUAGGGAAGAACAAGUGCUAGUUGAAUAAGCUGGCACCUUGACGGUACCUAACCAGAAAGCCACGGCUAACUACGUGCCAGCCGCCGCGGUAA